rnacentral:rRNA from 1 species
CUCUUCGGAGAAGAGCGGCGGACGGGUGAGUAACGCGUGGGUAACCUGCCCUGUACACACGGAUAACAUACCGAAAGGUAUGCUAAUACGAGAUAAUAUGCUUUUAUCGCAUGGUAGAAGUAUCAAAGCUCCGGCGGUACAGGAUGGACCCGCGUCUGAUUAGCUAGUUGGUAAGGUAACGGCUUACCAAGGCGACGAUCAGUAGCCGACCUGAGAGGGUGAUCGGCCACAUUGGAACUGAGACACGGUCCAAACUCCUACGGGAGGCAGCAGUGGGGAAUAUUGCACAAUGGGCGAAAGCCUGAUGCAGCAACGCCGCGUGAGCGAUGAAGGCCUUCGGG